rnacentral:rRNA from 1 species
UACGUAGGGGGCUAGCGUUGUCCGGAUUUAUUGGGCGUAAAGAGCGUGUAGGCGGCCAGGUAGGUCUGCUGUGAAAACUCGAGGCUUAACCUCGAGAUGUCGGCGGAAACCAUCUGGCUAGAGUCCGGAAGAGGAGAGUGGAAUUCCUGGUGUAGCGGUGAAAUGCGUUGAUAUCAGGAGGAACACCCAUGGCGAAGGCAGCAAACUGGUCAUCAACUGACGCUGAGGCGCGAAAGCGUGGGUAGCAAACAGG